CGGUAAGGCCCUUCGGGGUACACGAGCGGCGAACGGGUGAGUAACACGUGAGCAACCUGCCCCUGACUCUGGGAUAAGCGGUGGAAACGCCGUCUAAUACCGGAUACGACCUUUCGGCUCAUGCCGUUGGGUGGAAAGUUUUUUCGGUCAGGGAUGGGCUCGCGGCCUAUCAGCUUGUUGGUGGGGUAACGGCCUACCAAGGCGAUUACGGGUAGCCGGCCUGAGAGGGCGACCGGCCACACUGGGACUGAGACACGGCCCAGACUCCUGCGGGAGGCAGCAGUGGGGAAUAUUGCGCAAUGGGCGAAAGCCUGACGCAGCGACGCCGCGUGGGGGAUGACGGCCUUCGGGUUGUAAACCUCUUUUACCACCAACGCAGGCUCCGGGUUUUCUCGGGGUUGACGGUAGGUGGGGAAUAAGGACCGGCUAACUACGUGCCAGCAGCCGCGGUAAUACGUAGGGUCCGAGCGUUGUCCGGAAUUAUUGGGCGUAAAGAGCUCGUAGGCGGCGUGUCGCGUCUGCUGUGAAAGACCGGGGCUUAACUCCGGUUCUGCAGUGGAUACGGGCAUGCUAGAGGUAGGUAGGGGAGACUGGAAUUCCUGGUGUAGCGGUGAAAUGCGCAGAUAUCAGGAGGAACACCGGUGGCGAAGGCGGGUCUCUGGGCCUUACCUGACGCUGAGGAGCGAAAGCAUGGGGAGCGAACAGGAUUAGAUACCCUGG
rnacentral:rRNA from 1 species